rnacentral:rRNA from 1 species
UACGUAGGUGGCGAGCGUUGUCCGGAUUUACUGGGCGUAAAGCGCGCGCAGGCGGUUCGUUAAGUCCGGUCUGAAAGCCCCCGGCUCAACCGGGGAGGGUGGCUGGAAACUGGCGUUCUUGAGGGCGAGAGAGGAGGGUGGAAUUCCUGGUGUAGCGGUGAAAUGCGUAGAGAUCAGGAGGAACACCCGGGGCGAAGGCGGCCCUCUGGCUCGACCCUGACGCUGAGGCGCGAAAGCGUGGGGAGCGAACGGG